rnacentral:rRNA from 1 species
UGGGCAACCUGCCCCUAACUCUGGGAUAACUCCUCGAAAGAGGUGCUAAUACCGGAUAUGAACCGGGAAGACAUCUUCCUGGUUGGAAAGUUUUUCGGUUAGGGAUGGGCCCGCGGCCUAUCAGCUUGUUGGUGAGGUAACGGCUCACCAAGGCUACGACGGGUAACCGGCCUGAGAGGGCGACCGGUCACACUGGGACUGAGACACGGCCCAGACUCCUACGGGAGGCAGC